GCUCCUGUGGCGCAAUCGGUUAGCGCGUCGUACUUAUACAGCAGUAUAGGCGCUCUUGCUUGAGCAAUGCGAAGGGCGUGGGUUCGAUCCCCACCAGGAGCA
rnacentral:tRNA from 1 species